GGAUGCGAUCAUACCAGCACUAAAGCACCGGAUCCCAUCAGAACUCCGAAGAUAAGCGUGCUUGGGCGAGAAUAGUACUAUGAUGGGUGACCUCCUGGGAAGUCCUCGUGUUGCAUUCC
rnacentral:rRNA from 1 species